AACUCUGCAGACAUAUUUUAAUGCGGGAUUUCUGUACUUUUAUGUCAGAGUCUCAGCGAUGUGACACCACUACGGGAAUAAGAAAGCAGGAGGGAUGUGUUUCCUGGCGUGAUACAAUACCACGAUUGAAGUUGACAUCAUGACAAGAACAGCUAGGAUGCACUUGGAGUAAACCACAACACUCCUUAUUGACGUACCGGAUAAACACGUCAACAGGAGCGCCAUUCCCCCGAACGAGCCACACCUACCCCAACCAGAGUGGUUCUGAGCAAGACACGUCGAUUUCAGCUGUCAUCCACAAUUAAUAGCCUGGGAUGAAAAUGUUUCGACAAUUACUCGGAAUUUACAUAUGGUAAAAGGGAAGAAUGUCCGGAUAAACCUGAUAUUGUGUAUUCAUGAUGAAUAACCGCUAUAAAGUGAUUUCACGUAA